UAAUGUAGUUACACAAUCUUUUAAUAUGUAAAACAGACUUUAAUUUAAAUAGAUACUGUAAUUUAGUAAGGUUUGGCCAAGAACAAUAGAAUUUUGGCAAAUACAUAGGCCUAAUUGAUCUAUAUGCAGGGCAUACUAAUAAAAAGUGGUAUUCGUUUUCAACACACUGCAUAUUACAACAUUUACAUAAACGUAAUUCUCUAGCCAUGCCAGUAUAUCUUCCUGUUUCAAUGUUCAGUUU
rnacentral:lncRNA from 1 species